ACAGACCGUUCAGAGUUUGAUCCUGGCUCAGGAUGAACGCUAGCGGCAGGCUUAACACAUGCAAGUCGAGGGGCAGCGUAAACAUUGCUUGCAAUGUUUGAUGGCGACCGGCGCACGGGUGCGUAACGCGUAUGUAACCUACCUCGAACAGGGGCAUAACACUGAGAAAUUGGUACUAAUUCCCCAUAACACCUGAGAGGGCAUCCUUUUGGGUUGAAAGUUCCGGCGGUUUGAGAUGGACAUGCGUUGUAUUAGCUAGUUGGUGGGGUAACGGCUCACCAAGGCGACGAUACAUAGGGGGACUGAGAGGUUAACCCCCACAUUGGUACUGAGACACGGACCAA
rnacentral:rRNA from 1 species